rnacentral:rRNA from 1 species
CCCUUAGAUGUCCGGGGCUGCACGCGCGCUACACUGAAGGAAUCAGCGUGCUAAAACCAUUGUCGAAAGGCAUUGGUAAACCCAUUAAAAUCCUACGUGAUUGGGAUCGGGAAUUGCAAUUAUUUCCCUGAACGAGGAAUUCCCAGUAAGUGUGGGUCAUAAGCUCGCGUUGAUUACGUCCCUGCCCUUUGUACACACCGCCCGUCGCUGCCCGGGACUGAGCCGUUUCGAGAAAAGCGGGGACUGCUGCUGUCGGGGCUUUCGGGCCUUGGCUUCGGUGGAAACCGCUUUAAUCGCAGUGGCUUGAACCGGGCAAAAGUCGUAACA